rnacentral:rRNA from 1 species
CCUACGGGGCGCAGCAGUGGGGAAUAUUGCGCAAUGGGCGAAAGCCUGACGCAGCGACGCCGCGUGAGGGAUGAAGGUCUUCGGAUCGUAAACCUCUGUCAGCAGGGAAGAACGGUCACUGUGCUAAUCAGCAGUGAAUUGACGGUACCUGCAAAGGAAGCACCGGCUAACUCCGUGCCAGCAGCCGCGGUAAUACGGAGGGUGCGAGCGUUAAUCGGAAUUACUGGGCGUAAAGCGCUCGUAGGCGGUAUGUCAAGUCAAGGGUGAAAUCCCCGCGCUCAACGUGGGAACUGCCUUUGAAACUGGCAAACUGGAGUGUGUGAGAGGAUAGUGGAAUUCCAGGUGUAGGAGUGAAAGCCGUAGAUAUCUGGAGGAACAUCAGUGGCGAAGGCGACUAUCUGGCACAUAACUGACGCUGAGGAGCGAAAGCGUGGGUAGCAAACAGGAUUAGAUACCCUAGUAGUC